rnacentral:rRNA from 1 species
UGAAUUGAAGAGUUUGAUCAUGGCUCAGAUUGAACGCUGGCGGCAGGCUUAACACAUGCAAGUCGAACGGUAACAUGAAGAAGCUUGCUUCUUUGACGACGAGUGGCGGACGGGUGAGUAAUGCUUGGGAAUCUAGCUUAUGGAGGGGGAUAACUACGGGAAACUGUAGCUAAUACCGCGUAGUAUCGGAAGAUGAAAGUGUGGGACCUUCGGGCCACAUGCCAUAGGAUGAGCCCAAGUGGGAUUAGGUAGUUGGUGAGGUAAAGGCUCACCAAGCCGACGAUCUCUAGCUGGUCUGAGAGGA